rnacentral:misc_RNA from 1 species
AACGCACAUUGCGCCCUAUGGUAUUCCGUAGGGCAUGCCUGUUCGAGUGUCAUUCAAACCUUCAAGCUAUGCUUGGUGUUGGGCGUCUGUCCCGCCUCACGGCGCGGACUCGCCUCAAAUCUAUUGGCGGCCGGCACGUUGGCUUCGAGCGCAGCAGAAACGCGAACUCGACCCCGGCGGAUCGGCUCCCAGAAGCUACCCCCAUGAAUUUGACCUCGGAUCAGGUAGGGAUACCCGCUGAACUUAA